AGCAGACAGGAAUCGGAGGUCAGGAACACGAAACAGGAUCACGAGGCAAGUAGGCAGGAUGGUGAAAUGCUGGAAAGUGAUGACUGGCAUACAACGAUCUGGCAACGGGCUAUGGGAACUGGUGGUGGUUAAGUACACAGGAUGUAACUGACAAGGACUCGUACAACGAAACACCAGUGGGAAUCCUCUGUGUUGAUCCAAAAAAUCGUCAGCUCAGCCCAUCCAGAGUGGGAAUCAUCUUGGAGGGGAGUGUGGUGAUGGAUGAAGUGGGCUCCACCUGGACUACCCUAAAUACAUGAAAAACACUUUUAUCUCUGUUCAUCAGCUGCUGUAAUGGUCAAGCUGGGUAGAAGUGAGCUUUCUCCUAAAAUUCAAACACUGAAAAAUCAACUUAAGACUAGUUCUGAAUAGAAUAUAAUGCAAAUUUCAGUUCUUAGUUUGUGAUGUUAAACAACUGUGUGGUACUAUGUGCACAGAAUAUUGUAUAGCAUUGUUACAGUACUGUAUGUCUGGUUGAGAGCUGCAUUACAAUGGAGGCUUCUGUUUAUUAUAUAAGUGACAUGCUGUAUAUUCUACCAUCUUUUAUCACCAGGCAAGCGUGAGGCGUUAGACACGAGGGGACUGUGUACUUUUUACACUGCUUCUUUGUGAUCAUGUGUGAAUUUAAAAUAAAGUACAAUAAACAUG